rnacentral:rRNA from 1 species
UGAUUGGAGAGUUUGAUCCUGGCUCAGAACGAACGCUGACGGUGUGCCUCAUACAUGCAAGUCGAGCGGGCUCAGCAAUGGGUCAGCGGCGGACGGGUGAGUAACACGUGAACAAUCUGCCCUCGAAUUUGGGAUAACAGCUCCAACGAGCUGCUAAUACCGGAUAGGUUAAUUUGGCCUCCUGGUCGAAUUAAGAAAGGUCCAAUUGGAUCGUUCGAGGAUGAGUUCGCGGCCCAUUAGCUAGUUGGCGGGGUAAUGGCCCACCAAGGCGACGAUGGGUAGCCGGCCUGAGAGGGUGAUCGGCCACAUUGGGACUGAGAUACGGCCCAGACUCCUACGGGAGGCAGCAGUAGGGAAUUUUGCGCAAUGGACGAAAGUCUGACGCAGCAACACCGUGUGAGGGAUGAAGCAUUUCGGUGUGUAAACCUCUGUCGAUGAUGAAUAAAGCAUGUGGGAGUGGAAAGCCCAUGUGUUGAAGGUAAUCAUGAAGGAAGCACCGGCUAACUCUGUGCCAGCAGCCGCGGUAAUACAGGGGGUGCAAGCGUUGUUCGGAAUCACUGGGCGUAAAGGGAGCGUAGGCGGGACUACAAGACAGAGGUCAAAUCUCCGGGCUCAACCUGGAACUUGCCUUUGUGACUGUAGCCCUUGAGUAUGGUAGAGGUUGGCGGAAUUUCCGGUGUAGCGGUGGAAUGCGUAGAGAUCGGAAAGAACACCAGAGGCGAAGGCGGCCAACUGGACCAAUACUGACGCUGAGGCUCGAAAGCGUGGGGAGCAAACAGGAUUAGAUACCCUGGUAGUCCACGCUGUAAACGAUGAACACUAGAUGUCGGGAGAGGUUUCUUCCGGUGUCGUCGCUAACGCAGUAAGUGUUCCGCCUGGGGAGUACGCUCGCAAGGGUGAAACUCAAAGGAAUUGACGGGGGCCCGCACAAGCGGUGGAGCAUGUGGUUUAAUUCGAUGCAACGCGAAGAACCUUACCUGGGCUUGACAUGGGGGUGACCGCUCGAGAGAUCGAGCUUUCUCUUCGGAGACACCCCGCACAGGUGCUGCAUGGCUGUCGUCAGCUCGUGUUGUGAGAUGUUCGGUUAAGUCCGGCAACGAGCGCAACCCUCGUCCUUAGUUGCUAACAGGUUAAGCUGAGCACUCUAGGGAGACUGCCGCGGACAACGCGGAGGAAGGUGGGGACGACGUCAAGUCCUCAUGGCCCUUACGCCCAGGGCUACACACGUGCUACAAUGGUCGGUACAGCGGGAUGCAAUGUCGCGAGACGGAGCAAAUCCUCAAAGCCGUCCUCAGUUCGGAUUGGAGGCUGCAACUCGCCUCCAUGAAGCUGGAAUCGCUAGUAAUCGUGGAUCAGCAUGCCACGGUGAAUACGUUCCCGGGCCUUGUACACACCGCCCGUCAAGCCACGAAAGAAGAGAGCGCUCCAAGUCGCCAAGCCAACCUUUACUGGAGGCCAGCGCCUAAAGCGAGAUCUUUGAUUGGGGCUAAGUCGUAACAAGGUAGCCGUAUCGGAAGGUGCGGCUGGAUCACCUCCUUU